AUGGCGGAGGAGGCUGCGGCAGCAGCAGCGGCGCCUCUCCUCGAGGGCCUCCCAGAUGAGAUCGUCCUGUGGGAGAUUCUCGUCCGCCUCGACCCCAAAUCCCUCCUCCGCUCCCGCGCCGUCCGCCGCGCCUGGCGCUGCGCCACCUCCACCCGCCGCUUCCUCCUCGCCCACCAUGCCCGCCAGCCAACCCUCCCUUUCGUCUGCAGAGACAGAUCCCAUAGCAUCCUCGCCUUCGACCAGCGGGCCGCCGCCGAUGCCCAGCUCCACACCGUCGCCCGGCUUGCCGAGCCCUUCCUUCUUGAGGCCUCCUGCGACGGCCUCCUCGUCCUCUCCAGGUGCACCCGCCGCUUCUCCGUCUACAACCCGGCCACGCGUGAGCAUGCCUCCCUUAGGUGUCCAGCCUGGGACUUCAACAUCGUGGGGAUGUAUCCACAUCCACCUACCGGCGAGUACAGGCUGCUACUGCGAUGUUGCGACAUGGACAUGCCUAAGGACGAAUUUGGCUGCUAUGUCCUUCCGUUGGGCUCCGACCAGCCACCGAGGUACAUCGGGUGUCCGGAGAGAGAAGUGGUCUCAGCGCUCUUCAAUGUACCUGUCUGGGCGCAUCAUAGUCUGCAUUGGUACCCACUGCCUUAUCUGAAAUAUGAGACUGAAAGCGCCCAGCUCGAGGAUCAGGCUGAACAGCAACUGGUAAUAGUUUUCGACACCAUAGCUGAGUCGUUUCGGCAGAUGCGUGCUCCACUUGCUUCCACCUACUCAUCUAUCUUUGAGGUGGAUGGCAUGCUUGGCAUCUAUAGCUCUAACAGGGCUAAGGAAAUUGUUGAUAUAUGGGUGCUGCAGAACUAUGAAAGUGAGAUUUGGGUCUUAAAGUACCGGGUUGAAUUGCCGCUCACACAAAUCAGGAGGAAGCUUGAAGCCCGUGAUGGUGAUGGCAAUUGGUAUGUGAUCGUUGCUUCGGGUGAUGGUGAUGUGCUCUUGCUAGUCAGGUUUGGUCAUUGGCUGUUUUACGUUGACACUGAUGGCAAACUGGUUGCUAGCUUCCAAGACAUCAAUUUCUAUAAAUAUGGGCUCAAACAGACUCUUGUUCCUCAUGAUUUCUUCACGACACGAGAAGGUUUUGCUGCGGACGCUUCACCAUUCAUCUGA
rnacentral:rRNA from 1 species